UAUAUAAUAAAAAAUUGGUCAAAUAUGACUGUUAAUCAGAGGGUCGCUGGUUCAAGUCCAGCAGGGGGAGCCA
rnacentral:tRNA from 1 species